rnacentral:tRNA from 1 species
GGGCGCUUAGCUCAGUUGGUAGAGCACCUGACUUUUAAUCAGGUUGUCRCAGGUUCGAUCCCUGYAGCGCCUACCA